rnacentral:lncRNA from 1 species
GCCUUAUUUUUCUCUUCUGCUUAGAUUUGAUUUCUCCUCAGAUCUAGAUGAUCUUACCUCGGAUCUAUAGAUUUUAUCUCGAAUCUUGGAUCUGCAUGAUCUUUGCCUCAGAUUGGCAUGAUCACCUUGGAUGGGCCUUUAUUUGGCCUUAAUUCAACUUUUUUUUUGGAAAAUAGCUCCCUUGUACCAGCCUAGAAGAUAGAAGCAGAUUGCAACAAAAGCGUGG